rfam:Hordeum vulgare subsp. vulgare, WGS project CAJW01000000 data, contig: morex_contig_295789
CUAGUACUAUCUCAAUCCGGAAAUACUUGUCGGGGGAAUGGAUGUAUCUACAUAAAUUUUAGUUCUAGAUACAUUCAUUUUUAUCCAUUUUGAGACAAGUAAUUCCGGACGGAGGGAGUACUAU